CACCUUCUGACCAUUUACUAACUAAUGCAGAAAUUCUCUGCUAAGGAAAGUCUCUUUGGGGUUACUUUGGCUACCAACUGUCUUAGCCUAGGUUUCCCAAAAAAUAAAGGAAGCAAAGGCACUGUACAAGAUGUCUUCUCCAACUCUAUCCUGCCAUGAAAAAGUAACUGUCAGAUCCUGAUCUUUAUGUGUCUGAUGCAAGGCUGGUAAUGGGACUCAAUAAUGGAACUCAGAAUCUUCAAUGCUUCAUUUGCUUAAUGAUCUGGCUUGGUAUUUUGAAACUUGGACACCAUCUGGACACUGAUAGCAAUAUUAACCCAGCAUGAAAGACUUUUGAAAACAAAAUUGACUAUUACAAAAAUAGUUGAGAGGUAUUUGCCCAGUUUUUAAAACUUUCAGCUGCAGAGGAAUUUUAAGGCACAGAUACAGAUACAGAUACAGCA
rnacentral:lncRNA from 1 species